UUCUUUCCUUAAUAACAGGGGUAGGCACCUGCAGAGUGUGACGCUGCCAGUAGUGUCAGGUCUUGAUACACCUUUUCCAAAGUGGGAAUCAUAUGGUGAUGGAAUGCUCCCACUGAAUGAUGAACUUAAAGAACACAAUUUCAACAGGGGGAGAUGGUCCAAACAAAAAGGACUGGUCCAUGUCUGGUACACAGGAUACUUUUACAUAACAUCAGAGAUACUGCCAGAAGGAAAGACUGUUCUUCAAGCAGCCCUUGGAGGGAAACAUGGAGUUCUUCUGACUGAAGAAAUUACGAAGAAAAUGGCUCUUCAAUUUUCUAUCUUAUGUGGAGGCAACAUUUCUGCAUCAGAUUCAGCCUGUGGGAAAAGGAAUGAGGCUUCUUCUAUGAUCCAUUCAGGUUAGUCCUUCCUGAAGUAGCAAAGCAUGUGUCAUUUUAAAACAUGAUUGUAAUUCCUCUUUCAGUGCCACCGACUUUGUCAUGUGGAAAAUUUUUGGCAGGUUUUGGCAAUAAGGUGUCUAUCAGACAAUUUUCAUGGGAUUAGGGUUUUACAUUUGUUAUGAAUCUCGGGAGAGAAUUAGGAGAAGAAAAAUAAAUAAUAAAAGUAAAUUCAUGUUUUCAAUUUAAUUUUAUUUAAAAACCUACUGUACAGAUGUAAUACUAAUCCAAAAGCAUAUGUCCCCAGUUUCAUAAACACAUUAUUUUUAGAGUCCCUCUCAAAAUUAUAAGGAAAGGAAAAUUCAGUCAGUAAUAGCAAAUGGUUGGCUGGCCAAAUUGUUUUCAGGAAGACUGGCUCUCAAAUUGAAUAGACAAAUGUUGUGUUUUAAGACUGUUGAUUGUUAAUAAUAGCUAAUGCCUAAAUGGCAUUUCC
rnacentral:lncRNA from 1 species